rnacentral:lncRNA from 1 species
UUAAAUUCAAUUUGGACCAUGUAAUGAGUGGCCCAAAUCUUUCAAUACUCGUUCAUCACUUAAACUAGCCCAUUUCCUUACCCAGCCCAAGAAAAAACCAGACUUGACCCUAAUAACCCUCCGACCCACCCAUUUCCCCACCUAAAAAAAAAUCCUAACCUAGACACAAAUAAUACAUAAGAAAUGAGCGAGGAUAUACACUGAAGAGCAGCGGCAACAAUACAAAGACCCCCUCUGAAUUCCAACUUUUUCUUUCUCUCAACUUGAAGAUACACACAAAGAACAAAAAGAGGAAGGAACAAGAAAGGCAAAACGAAGGAAAAAGCUUCAAAGAAAAGCUUGAACCAACACCGUUUCACUUCCCUUCUGUCAUUGAAGACCAACAUUACAAUCACUAUAAUUUCAUUUUUCUUCCAUCCAAAGACCACCAUAGAUUACUCCCCCCUUAUUUUCAGCAAUUUAAGGCCACCAUUAACGGCUGAAAUUGUCCCAUAAAUAAGCUAAAACACAACUGAAAACUAUCGAAAACGUCACCCAAAACCAACCCAAAAUAUGUAACAAAAAUAGCCCCCAAAUCAGUGUGUAAAUCAGCCCAAAAUCGUGUCGAUUUGAAUCCUUCGGGGUUGUUGAUUCGAUUCAAGUUGCUGGGUCCUUAGCUCGAUUGAAGGUCGUUUUUUGUAGUGUUUGCCUUACUUUGUAAUUGUUUGCAAUUUUGAGCAAUAAAGGUCUAUCUCUAUUUUGUAUUACUUUAUCUGAAUGUUUGGAUUUUAACUCUACUCUAGUAGAAUUUCAGAAUAUAUUUGUUCUUUUUGGUUUAUUGUUAGAUGCCAUGCUUUUACUGUUUAAUAAUUGAUCAUGUUUUGAUUAAUAUUCUGAUUUUAUUGUUCAUU